CGAACGCUGGCGGCGUGCUUAACACAUGCAAGUCGAACGAGAAAUUUUUCCUUCGGGAAAAAGAGUACAGUGGCGCACGGGUGAGUAACGCGUAGAUAAUCUACCCUGGUGUUCGGGAUAACAUCGCGAAAGCGGUGCUAAUACCGGAUACGCUCCUUCGGGAGGAAAGAUGGGGACCCUUCGGGGCCUAUCGCAUUGGGAUGAGUCUGCGUACCAUUAGCUAGUUGGUGGGGUAAGAGCCUACCAAGGCGACGAUGGUUAGCGGGUCUGAGAGGAUGAUCCGCCACACUGGAACUGGAACACGGACCAGACUCCUACGGGAGGCAGCAGUGAGGAAUUUUGCGCAAUGGGGGAAACCCUGACGCAGCGACGCCGCGUGGGUGAUGAAGGCUUUCGAGUCGUAAAGCCCUGUCAAGUGGGAAGAAGUGUGCAUGAGCUAAUACCUCAUGCAUUUGACGGUACCACUAAAGGAAGCACCGGCUAACUCC
rnacentral:rRNA from 1 species